rnacentral:rRNA from 1 species
CUCCGGUUGAUCCUGCCGGACCUGACUGCUAUCGGAUUGGUACUAAGCCAUGCGAGUCAUUGUAGCAAUACAAGGCGGGCGGCUCAGUAACACGUAGUCAACCUAACUCGUGGACGUGGAUAACCUCGGGAAACUGAGAAUAAACCACGAUAGAUCAUAGUGCCUGGAAUGGCUUAUGGUCCAAACAGUUUACUGCCAUGGGAUGGGACUGCGGCCUAUCAGCUUGUUGGUGAGGUAAUGGCCCACCAAGGCGAUUACAGGUACGGGCUCUGAGAGGAGAAGCCCGGAGAUGGGUACUGAGACACGGACCCAGGCCCUAUGGGGCGCAGCAGGCGAGAAACCUUAGCAAUGUGCGAAAGCACGACUGGGUCAGUCCGAGUGAUUCCUGAUAAAGGAGUCUUUUGCUUGUCCUAAAAGCACAGGUGAAUAAGGGGUGGGCAAGUCUGGUGUCAGCCGCCGCGGUAAUACCAGCACCUCGAGUGGUCAGGACGUUUAUUGGGCCUAAAGCAUCCGUAGCCGGCUCUGCAAGUCUUCGGUUAAAUCCACCUGCUCAACAGAUGGGCUGCUGGAGAUACUACAGAGCUAGGGAGUGGGAGAGGCAGACGGUAUUCAGUGGGUAGGGGUAAAAUCCUCUGAUCCAUUGAGGACCACCAGUGGCGAAGGCGGUCUGCCAGAACACGUUCGACGGUGAGGGAUGAAAGCUGGGGGAGCAAACCGGAUUAGAUACCCGGGUAGUCCCAGCUGUAAACGAUGCAAACUCGGUGAUGCAUUGGCUUAUGGCCAAUGCAGUGCCGCAGGGAAGCCGUUAAGUUUGCCGCCUGGGAAGUACGGACGCAAGUCUGAAACUUAAAGGAAUUGGCGGGGGAGCA